GCUCAAACUGCUAUGUGAGAGUGAAAUAAACUAUCUUGUUUAAGCUUCUGUUGUAUUUUAUAGCAGACCUAUUGGCAUCCUGCGUAGGGAGAUAAGAGCUUAAGCAAGUGAACCACAGAAUUUCCCCAAAAGUGAAUGAUAGGAGGCUGGUCAUGGGGAGUAUGGAAUUCUGGGGCCAGCGGGGAUAACUUGAAUGAGUGAGGUGGGCUGUUAUAAGACACAUGGAACCUGUGGGGACCAGGUAAAUUGCAGAGCUGUGACCUUCCUGAAGACAUGAGCAUACAGACUGUAUUUCAGCUCAAAGAGAGUCUGCUAUUAGAAUUUGGCCAAGCCACUUGGUGAACUCUGAUAAGCUGAGUUGUUUUAAAAUGUUUAGUUGUUGUCAGCAACAUGAAACCCUCUUUUUCUAAUUCGUGCAGAACUAGGAUAUGUACAGACCUAAAGGCAGAUCUGCUCUGGGUGAAUGGAGGCCAUAUUCUCGCAGUUUCCCUCUGAGCCUAUGUGUGGGCUCUGCAGUGAAACAGUUUUAAAUUUAUUUAUCUAUUCUAAGCCCCUUAUUUAGCAGAUGGUAAAAUUUAAACUGAGAGGGGUUUACUGUUAAACCAAAAGUAUGUCAUUUCACCUCUCUGGGCCUUAGUUUCCUCCUGUUUAAAACAAGUAUGAAUUAAUCUCUAAAAUCUCUUCUAGUGAGUAAUAAAGGAAGCAUGUACAGAAGAAAAGUCAUGACUGUUGGUCAACUGAUGCUUGCUAUCAGGUCUGCCAGGCAUAUUUCUAACAAUGACUGGGAUGCUGCCUGGAUGAUUGCUCCUCAACCAGAGAUGUCAGCCAGCUGAAACAUACCAGGAGACAACAAAGGACAUUCCUGACUUGGGGAAAAAUGGAGCAGGAGAAAUUUACAUGUGUUUGACAUUUAUAUUCUUUUGAGUAGCUUUUGUCUCUUUGAAAAUUCCCUGAACUUACUACCUCAAGCAGAAGAAUGGAAUCUAAAUGCAAGGGAGAAAAGAAAGUCUGCUUUGAAGAUGAGGAGUAAGAUGAAGAAUUAGAGGUUUGUCUUUUUCUUUUAAGGCCUUUUUUGGUUAUGGAAAAGGACAGAA
rnacentral:lncRNA from 1 species